UAAGGAAUAUUGCGCAAUGGGCGACAGCCUGACGCAGCGACGCCGCGUGGGGGAUGAAGGUCUUCGGAUUGUAAACCCCUUUCGGCAGGGAAGAUGGAACGGGUAACCGUUCGGACGGUACCUGCAGAAGCAGCCACGGCUAACUUCGUGCCAGCAGCCGCGGUAAUACGAAGGUGGCAAGCGUUGUUCGGAUUUACUGGGCGUACAGGGAGCGUAGGCGGUUGGGUAAGCCCUCCGUGAAAUCUCCGGGCCUAACCCGGAAAGUGCGGAGGGGACUGCUCGGCUAGAGGAUGGGAGAGGAGCGCGGAAUUCCCGGUGUAGCGGUGAAAUGCGUAGAGAUCGGGAGGAAGGCCGGUGGCGAAGGCGGCGCUCUGGAACAUUUCUGACGCUGAGGCUCGAAAGCGUGGGGAG
rnacentral:rRNA from 1 species